CCUACGGGAGGCUGCAGUGGGGAAUAUUGGACAAUGGGGGCAACCCUGAUCCAGCCAUGCCGCGUGUGUGAAGAAGGCCCUCGGGUUGUAAAGCACUUUCAGUGAGGAAGAACGCCUGGUGGUUAAUACCCAUCAGGAAAGACAUCACUCACAGAAGAAGCACCGGCUAACUCCGUGCCAGCAGCCGCGGUAAUACGGAGGGUGCGAGCGUUAAUCGGAAUUACUGGGCGUAAAGCGCGCGUAGGUGGCUUGAUAAGCCGGUUGUGAAAGCCCCGGGCUCAACCUGGGAACGGCAUCCGGAACUGUCAAGCUAGAGUGCAGGAGAGGAAGGUAGAACUCCCGGUGUAGCGGUGAAAUGCGUAGAGAUCGGGAGGAAUACCAGUGGCGAAGGCGGCCUUCUGGACUGACACUGACACUGAGGUGCGAAAGCGUGGGUAGCACACAGGAUCAGAUACCCUGGUAGUC
rnacentral:rRNA from 1 species